rnacentral:rRNA from 1 species
AGAAUCAACGCUGGCGGCGUGCCUCAGACAUGCAAGUCGAACGCGAAAGUUCCCUUCGGGGGCGAGUAGAGUGGCGCACGGGUGAGUAACACGUAGGUAAUCCACCUUCGGAUGGGGAAUAACAACCGGAAACGGUUGCUAAUACCGCAUAAUGCAGCGGCACCUAAUGGUGACAGUUGUUAAAGCGGGGGAUCGAAAGACCUCGCGUCUGAAGAGGAGCCUGCGGCGGAUUAGCUAGUUGGUAAGGUAAUGGCUUACCAAGGCUACGAUCC